rnacentral:lncRNA from 1 species
CUGAUGGUAGGUUGUAUACCAAAAUUUAUGACAAACGCGAUGAUUUUAAUUUUCCUAUAGUCAACUUUCCAUUUCUGUGUAGCAACAUCCCAGCGGCACCAGCAUAUGGAGUAUGUGUCUCAAUUGAUACGUUACUCUAGACCUAGUUCAAAGUACGUUGAUUUUGUUGAACGAGGAAUACUGCUUUCUCAAAAGUUGCUAAGACAGGGC